rnacentral:lncRNA from 1 species
UGCCAUACUACUGAUUUAUAAGAUCUUCAUUAUCAUCCCGUUCACACCAAAGUAAAGAAUCAUAAAUAAACAUACAGAAUCUCAAGUACAGUUUGAUUUUAGCUAUCUUUUCUUUCAAGAAAAUGUGAGUUUAAUCAGCAAGCUUGACUUCCAAUUACAAGUGGAAAAUGGACUUUAACAACGAAUAUCAGUUAUCACCAUGUUUAACCAGUCUUAAAUGAAGAAUCAACAUCCACUAAUCUGUGUUUCACGCAGAGUAAACAGAUCAUUCUUUAACAAGCAUAAAUUGUAAACAUAAUACUAGCUCCAUUACUGUAUAAAAUUACAAAACCACAUUCCUCACUGCAUGGACAAUGACAACCUUAAUAUUCCAUGAACAUAUAAUAAAGAUUAAAUGCACUGUUUCAUUGUGAUCAUAAGAAUAGAAUCUUACCCCAACUGACAGUACGUGUUACCAAUAUCAUAUUCUAUCAUUGCAAAAAAUGGCCAAAAUUAUUUUCACUUCUUAAAAUAAAUUCACAUUUAAUUAUAAUUACAUGACAGAAGUCUUUCUUUCUAACUGAGACCAACAUUCAAAACCCAAAAACUGUCCUAAAUUAUGAAUUGCCAGGAAACAAGAACAUUAAUUAACUUCAAAAGAUCAUCUCAUCUAAAAUGAUCAAAAGAAGAAUCCAAAAGACAAACCUUUCCUUCUUUCUUUCUUCAUAUACUCUAAAAUCAGCAUUUCGUCAGUGGCUUAAACAAACAAAAGCUCAAUCAAACGAAUUCCAUAAACCCCUAACACCCAAAUUUAUUUAAACUACAAUGGAACUCGCAAAACACCUUAAUCAAAUCAAAAUAAACACUAAUUAGAGAGUGAUUUAAUUAUGCCACAACCAAUCACGCCAUACCUGAAAUAAAGCACAAGAUUUACCCAAUCUGUACAGACAAUGAGUUGCGAUUGCGAAGUUCAGGUGUCAAAGAUUCAGUCUACGGUUCAAGAAAAGGAAAGCUAGGGUUUUACGAAGGAAAUCUUAAAUAAACAAUUAGAGAGAGAGAAUUGAGAAAUAAAAUAGAGGAAUUGAGAUUCAAAUUGAAAUUAGAGAAAUCUAGGGAUUAAAAUUGAGGGCGAAUCAAAAUUUAGCGAACUGUAGAUACAUGUCCGUUUGGGUACAUAUCG